UACGGGGGGGGCAAGCGUUGUUCGGAAUUACUGGGCGUAAAGGGCUCGUAGGCGGCCAACUAAGUCGGAUGUGAAAUCCCCAGGCUUAACCUGGGAAUUGCAUCCGAUACUGGAUGGCUUGAAUCCGGGAGAGGGAUGCGGAAUUCCAGGUGUAGCGGUGAAAUGUGUAGAGAUCGGGAGGAACACCGGUGGCGAAGGCGGGUCUCUGGGCAGCAGCUGACGCUGUGGCACGAAGGCUAGGGGAGCAAACGGG
rnacentral:rRNA from 1 species